rnacentral:rRNA from 1 species
GGAUUAGAUACCCUGGUAGUCCACGCCCUAAACGAUGUCAACUAGGUGUGUGAAAGAAUAUCUUUUGCGUAUCGAAGCUAACGCGAUAAGUUGACCGCCUGGGGAGUACGGCCGCAAGGCUAAAACUCAAAUGAAUUGACGGGGGCCCGCACAAGCGGUGGAGCAUGUGGUUUAAUUCGAUGCAACGCGAAGAACCUUACCUGGUUUUGACAUGUAGCGAAGAUUCUAGAGAUAGGAUUGUGCCUUCGGGAACGCUAACACAGGUGCUGCAUGGCUGUCGUCAGCUCGUGCC